rnacentral:lncRNA from 1 species
CACAGAUCUAGAGGCUAGAACUCCAGGGUCAAGGUGCCGCCGAUUCAGUGUCUGGCUUCUAGAAAGAUCUAGUAUGAGCUUAACUCAGGAUAUGCUGAAUGGAGAACUGAAGAAGCUAUCAGAAGGUCUGGAAGGCACCAAGUACAGUAAUGUGAUGAAACUCCUUCGGAUGGCCCUCAGUGGACAGCAGCAAGGACCUCCUGUAGCUGAGAUGAUGUUGGCCUUGGGACCAAAGGAAGUACGGGAACGGAUCCAGAAGGUGGUUUCCAGCUAGGGAGAGGAUGUUUCGGGCAGUGGAGAUCGCCCUAAGAACCUGUGAGCUUAGAAACAGCUUUCAGAGACCAGAAGGAGGCCUGGGGCCCGUCGGGAAGUUUGCUGAAGGAACUAAGAGUGGAAACAAUCUCUGACUGCACACAAGUGCAUUUGUGAUCCACCACAGGCACGUUUUUGUCAAUUGGCUGGGGAAGCCCAACCCAUCUAACCUCCUGGACUCUGGAAAGGCAUUCUCCGGGUCUGGUUUCUCACACAUUACACAGCAGAGGUUUGGAGUUAGUUCACAGAAAAGUUAACAUCCCGGAACAGUGCAGAAGGCUUGGGUUUCAGUUUGCUAGGGCCCCCAUAACAAAAUGCCACAGAACCAGGUGGUUUAAACAACAGAGAUUUAUUUUCUCACAUUUGGAGGCUAGAAGUUCAAGAUCAAGGUGUCAGCAGGCCUGGUUUUUCCUAGAGGCCUCUUUUGUUGGCUUGCAGACAGCUGUCUUCUCACUGUGUCCUUGUGCGGUCUUCCCUCCAUGCACACACAUCUCUAAGUUUCAUUAUGUGCCCAACGUUCCUCUUCUAAGAACACCAGUUGGACUGGAUUUUAACUUUAACCAGCCUCAUUUAAGUUAAUCACCUCUUUAAAUGCUCAAUCUCCAAGUACAGUCUCAUUCUGAGGUUCCAGGGGUUUCUCAACGUAAGAAUUUAGGGGGACAGAAUUCAGCCCGUAGCAGCUGGGCAGCAGGACUCAUGGGUCCCAGUUCUCAGGCCCCAAGGACUCAGAGCAGCAAAGGAUACGUGACACAAGCAGGGCUGAACUGGACACCAGACUUUCUUUGGGGUUGUAAAAGGAGAAGUGUGACUCCACUGCCAAGGUCUUCCAGACCUGGUCCUUGGACUGGAGACCUUCACCCUUCCUAUUUUGUGGCUUUCUCUUCAAAUCCACCUCGUCCUUCCUCCAUGACUUAUAAGUCAUCAUCUCUGCUGGUUUCUGAAAUGAGAUAUGCUUCUUGGGGUCUUCAGUGAAGAGGAAUAGCAAGUGAAAGGAGGAUGGUGGCAGGGUACAUGAACCCCUACCAGGCUUCUAGGCUUCCCCUGCAUGGCAGCCAGCCUCUAAGUUGGCCCCCAACCAUCCCUGCCUUCUUCUAUUCACACCCUUGUGUGGUUCCUUCCCACAUUGAAUAGGCCUGACUUGUGUAACCACUACACUAUUGAAGAAAUGAGAGUUUGACUUCUGAGGGUAAGUCAUAAAAUACAUCGUGGCUUCUGUCUUGUUUUCUUUGAUCGCUUACUUUGGGGGAAGCCAGCUUCCAGGUCAUGAAAAUACUCAAGCAGCCUUAUGGAGUGCUCCACAUGACAAGGGAUCGAGGCCUCCCACCAAUAGCCAUGGGAGUGUGCAAUCUUGAAAGCUGGUCCUUCAAUUCCAGCCAAGCAUUCACAUGACCGCAAUCCUAGCUGAUCUCGCUUGUGACCUCUAUGGGAGACCCUAAGCCAGAACCACUCAGAGAAGCUGCUCCGGAACGUCAGACACACAUGAACUGUGAGAUAGUAAACGUUUAUUGUUUAAAGCUACUUGGUUUGGGGAUAAUUUGCGUUUCAGCAGUAGACAAUAUAUUUAUUUUGUCCAGGGGAGUGGAAAGGCGAUUACAGAGUUUGUUGAGCCCCAUAGAGUCCUAGUCUUUGCUUAAAGAAAUAUACCAGUUCUUUCUAAUACAGAAUCCAUUAAGUUCGUUGGUUGCAAACAAUAGAAACCAACUCUGCCUCACUUAUGUUUAUUGGAGGCCAUAAGAGAGCCACAGCAUCUACCAAAAAGCCAAAAAAAAAACAGGUUUUGGAAAAGACAGGAACUAGCUACAGGAGCUAAUGGCCAAUCUUGUCUGAGUUCUUUGAUGGCGACACAUGAACUACAGCCGUUUUGUUGUUGUUAAUUUCUCCGUGUUUUCCCCUCAGUUUUGGAUGACUCUGCUCAAGGUUCAGAUUCUGAGGAGCAAGUAUCUGUUGGGCUAUCUGAGGUCCUGCUACCAUUCCUUGGCCAGUAAUAGGUAGUUUCACAGGGAUUAUAUGCAAUGGAGGAAAAGUUGUUCUCAAGGAAAACUAGGGAGCUUUCUCCAGAAGAUGAUGUAAUGGCAGAAACAACAGGUGGUUGACCACAGAAGGGGACAAUAAUAAUACUUGUAAUUUAUUGUGCGCUUAUAUGAGCCUCACCCUCUCCCAGGUGUCAGAUAAUGCUCGUAAAUGCCUUAGUCCAUCAUCUCAGUAAAUUUUUUUUAUAACACU